rnacentral:piRNA from 1 species
UACAGUAUUCCAGAGUGUCCGC